rnacentral:snRNA from 1 species
GUGCUUUGCUUCGGCAGCACAUAUACUAAAAUGGAAUGAUACAGAGAAGAUUAGCAUGGCCCCU